rnacentral:rRNA from 1 species
GGCGAACGGGUGAGUAACACGUGAGUAACCUGCCCUUAACUCUGGGAUAAGCCUGGGAAACUGGGUCUAAUACCGGAUAGGAGCGCCGACCGCAUGGUGGGUGUUGGAAAGAUUUAUCGGUUUUGGAUGGACUCGCGGCCUAUCAGCUUGUUGGUGAGGUAAUGGCUCACCAAGGCGACGACGGGUAGCCGGCCUGAGAGGGUGACCGGCCACACUGGGACUGAGACACGGCCCACACUCCUACGGGAGGCAGCAGUGGGGAAUAUUGCACAAUGGGCGCAAGCCUGAUGCAGCGACGCCGCGUGAGGGAUGACGGCCUUCGGGUUGUAAACCUCUUUCAGUAGGGAAGAAGCGAAAGUGACGGUACCUGCAGAAAAAGCACCGGCUAACUACGUGCCAGCAGCCGCGGUAAUACGUAGGGUGCGAGCGUUAUCCGGAAUUAUUGGGCGUAAAGAGCUCGUAGGCGGUUUGUCGCGUCUGUCGUGAAAGUCCGGGGCUUAACCCCGGAUCUGCGGUGGGUACGGGCAGACUAGAGUGCAGUAGGGGAGACUGGAAUUCCUGGUGUAGCGGUGGAAUGCGCAGAUAUCAGGAGGAACACCGAUGGCGAAGGCAGGUCUCUGGGCUGUAACUGACGCUGAGGAGCGAAAGCAUGGGGAGCGAACAGGAUUAGAUACCCUGGUAGUCCAUGCCGUAAAACGUUGGGCACUAGGUGUGGGGACCAUUCCACGGUUUCCGCGCCGCAGCUAACGCAUUAAGUGCCCCGCCUGGGGAGUACGGCCGCAAGGCUAAAACUCAAAGGAAUUGACGGGGGCCCGCACAAGCGGCGGAGCAUGCGGAUUAUUUCGAUGCAACGCGAAGAACCUUACCAAGGCUUGACAUGUUCUCGAUCGCCGUAGAGAUACGGUUUCCCCUUUGGGGCGGGUUCACAGGUGGUGCAUGGUUGUCGUCAGCUCGUGUCGUGAGAUGUUGGGUUAAGUCCCGCAACGAGCGCAACCCUCGUUCCAUGUUGCCAGCACGUAAUGGUGGGGACUCAUGGGAGACUGCCGGGGUCAACUCGGAGGAAGGUGAGGAGGACGUCAAAUCAUCAUGCCCCCUAUGUCUUGGGGUUCACGCACGCUACAAUGGCCGGUACAAAGGGGUGC